rnacentral:rRNA from 1 species
ACGAACGCUGGCGGCAUGCCUAACACAUGCAAGUCGAACGAGACCUUCGGGUCUAGUGGCGCACGGGUGCGUAACGCGUGGGAACCUGCCCUUAGGUUCGGAAUAACUCCCCGAAAGGGGUGCUAAUACCGGAUAAUGUCUUCGGACCAAAGAUUUAUCGCCUUUGGAUGGGCCCGCGUUGGAUUAGCUAGUUGGUAGGGUAAAAGCCUACCAAGGCGACGAUCCAUAGCUGGUCUGAGAGGAUGAUCAGCCACACUGGGACUGAGACACGGCCCAGACUCCUACGGGAGGCAGCAGUGGGGAAUAUUGGACAAUGGGCGAAAGCCUGAUCCAGCAAUGCCGCGUGAGUGAUGAAGGCCUUAGGGUUGUAAAGCUCUUUUACCCGGGAUGAUAAUGACAGUACCGGGAAAAUAAGCGCCGGCUAACUCCGUG